rnacentral:RNase_P_RNA from 1 species
GAAGCUGGCUAGACAGUCGCUGUAUGGUUCUCCAUGCAGAGGAAAGUCCGGGCUCCGCAGAGCAGGGUGACGGCUAACGGCCGUACGUCGCGAGACGAGGAAUAGGGCCACAGAGACGAGCGUAUUCAGUUACGGUGAAACGCGGUAACCUCCACCCGGAGCAAAGCCAAAUAGGCAGACGAUGACGCGGCUCGCCGAGUCUGCGGGUAGGCUGCUUGAGCAUGCAGGUAACUGCAUCCCCAGAGGAAUGACUGUCCACGACAGAACCCGGCUUAUCGGCCAGCUUCUCCU